UAAUAGGAUUAAAAGACAAAAUCAAAACAGAAAGGGGAUUAGGUUACAUUUUUUGGUAGCUUUCACGUUAGCAAUGUUUCCCUUCUUCAACGUACAAACAGCGCCGCUCCUCCCAAUCUUCUUCUUCGAUUAAACUCGUCGACACCACCGUGAGCCAACGUCUCGUCCUCCGCCCGUCUCAAUCUCUCGGUUCCAUCUCCGUCUUGCAUUUCCGAUCUCUCUCAAUCAAACGCAUUCUCUAAUUCAAACUACCGGAGUUUGUCCAAUGUACCUCCAAUACCGUUGAUGUUAAGAAAACCAGAGAACAUUCAAGAACCGAUGUGAGGAAUUCUGAAGAGUGAUGAAGGUCGUGGAUUCUUGAUGACUGAUGAUGAUGAACUUCAAAUUAUUGUUAUGCAGGUUGCUAGCUGUGCAAAGUUGAAGGUGAUGAUUCUCAUGAAAAGUGGAGAUUGAAGAUGAUGAAUCGGUUAUUCAAGAUGAAGAUUCGAGAGAGAAUUGAAGAAGUUUGUUACAUUUUCGGUUGGAGGCGAGUUCUAAUCUAUUAUGUUUUUCUUAUUCUCUUCUCUGUUCUUUUUGUAAUAGAGGUUAUUGAUUCUGGACGAAGGUUGAUGAUGAGGAUGAUGAACACGGUUCAGAGAUCCAGAGAGAGUGAGGGAAAAUAUGAAGGAGAUUGAAGGUUUUUGUGGUAUGAAUCUAAGAAUUCUAUUGAUGGUGAUGGAGAUGGUUGAGAUGAGUAUUGAAGAUUGGAGAAGUGUUGUGAUUGAAGGUGAAGAUGAAUGUUAUGAAGAAGGUCGAUUCAGCGAUGGUGCAAAAGAUUGGAGAGAGAGGUUUGUUAUGCAACUCGGAUUUGGUCCCUCGAUGCGCAGAGCUGCCUCUUUGUCUUUUGCGUCGGAAUAUGAUGUUGUAACCAACCAUGGUUUAGAUGUAAUUAAUUCCUUUGCCACUAUUUAUGUAAUUCAAAUCAUUAUAAAAUGGAUAUGCUGGAAUGUAGCGUGUAUGAACUUUAUGAAUUUUGUAUAAUGAUGGUUGUACGGAAAAUUGAAUGAGAACUUGAAUUUUUGGAUGAAUAAUAGUGUAUGUUUUUGUGUUA